UACGGAGGGUGCGAGCGUUAAUCGGAAUUACUGGGCGUAAAGCGCGCGUAGGCGGUUAAUUAAGUCAGAUGUGAAAGCCCAGGGCUCAACCUUGGAACUGCAUUUGAAACUGGUUAACUAGAGUUUUGUAGAGGGUGGUAGAAUUUCAGGUGUAGCGGUGAAAUGCGUAGAGAUCUGAAGGAAUACCAGUGGCGAAGGCGGCCACCUGGACAAAGACUGACGCUGAGGCGCGAAGGCGUGGGGAGCAAACGGGG
rnacentral:rRNA from 1 species